AAGAUAGCUAACACACUAGUCGAACUCAUUAUCAGGAUCUGUUUAGUCCUUAUCUUAACAUUUCAGACAUCGUUUAAUACAAUAGUGUAUUUUCAAGCAACGUUUUGAAGAUGAACAGCUUUCUUACCGUAUGCGUUUUCAUCGUCGUUGGAGCAUCAGUAUGUGAUGGGCAAUGUAGAAUGAUGCGUCCUACUCCAGGUGCAACACCACCUCUUGGAUGUAACUGGAAUGGAACAUUCAUCAGCUUUAUGUCGCAUGCCACCAAACUGUGAAACAUGCUACUGCAACGAGGGAGGUGCUUUGAGUUGCUGCGUCAAUGGUUUUAAUGUCGUUCACGUGCCAGCUGAUUGUAAAAUAGUUCCGGCGGAAGACGGAUGUGGUGACAGGGCUGUGAAACUGGACAAUGAGAACGAGGAUUGUGAUCACGAUGUUGCUGCAAUUAGUCGCCGAGAUUUGCAGUAAUUAAUGGCCAAUACAAUGUUUUGAUCGAUCCA
rnacentral:lncRNA from 1 species